GGAUGUGAGGGUGAUAUGCCUGGCCAGGUGGGUAUCCCCUUCCUCCCUCACCUCUCCACAUGCAUCCCUCCCAAAGCUGCGCUCGGUGGAAGAGGACGUCCUUCCCCAAGUAGAGGAGGCCCAGGCUUCCGUAUAUGAGUAGCUGUGCUCUCUGCUAGAACCUCCAAACAAGCUCUCAUGGUCCCAAGGCAGGGUCUCACUCUAGCUCAAGCUGACUUGGAAUUCACUAUGUAG
rnacentral:snRNA from 1 species